rnacentral:rRNA from 1 species
GAUGAACGCUGGCGGCGUGCCUAAUACAUGCAAGUCGAGCGAACAGACGAGGAGCUUGCUCCUCUGACGUUAGCGGCGGACGGGUGAGUAACACGUGGAUACCCUACCUAUAAGACUGGGAUAACUUCGUGAAACCGGAGCUAAUACCGGAUAAUAUAUUGAACCUCUUGGUUCAAUAUUGAAAGACGGUUUUGCUGUCACUUAUAGAUGGAUCCGCUCCGCAUUAGCUAGUUGGUAAGGUAACGGCUUACCAAGGCAACGAUGCGUAUCCGAACUGAGAGGGUGAUCGGCCACACUGGAACUGAGACAAGGUCCAGAAUCCUAAGGGAGGCAGCAGUAGGGAAUCUUCCGCAAGGGGCGAAAGCUUGACGGAGCAAAGCCGCGUGAGUGAGGAAGGUCUUCGGAUCGUAAAACUCUGUUAUUAGGGAAGAACAAAUGUGUAAGUAACUAUGCAAGUCUUGACGGUACCUAAUCAGAAAGCAACGGCUAACUACGUG